UACGGGGGGAGCAAGCGUUGUUCGGAUUUACUGGGCGUAAAGGGCGCGUAGGCGGUCAGCACAAGUCAGUUGUGAAAUCUCCGGGCUUAACUCGGAAAGGUCAACUGAUACUGUGCGACUAGAGUGCAGAAGGGGCAACUGGAAUUCUCGGUGUAGCGGUGAAAUGCGUAGAUAUCGAGAGGAACACCUGCGGCGAAGGCGGAUUGCUGGGCUGACACUGACGCUGAUGCGCGAAAGCUAGGGGAGCGAACGGG
rnacentral:rRNA from 1 species